ACAUGCAUGCUUGCAGGUCAUAUGGUCCAUAGGGCUUGUCUCGUGUGUGUGUGUGUGUGUGUGUGUGUGUGUUUGGUGGCGGGGGGUGGCUGCCCCCAGGUAGCCUGAAUGCGCGCCAGUGGGGCAUCCGCGACGUUGACAGCUGCCUGGAGGCUUUUCACCACGCAGUCGUCAUUUCAGAUAAUAUCCCCAACGCUCUCUCUUCUCGGCAAUUUGUAUAUGAAUAACGGAAUAAUUUCCCCCCCUUUGUUCCAUCGGCGCUACCUCCAAACCAAAAUAAAGAUGCCUUUUAGUAUUAAAGUGGUAGAAAAUUACAGGUAAUUAUCUUUGACGGUAAAAACGCUGUAAUCAGCGGGCUACAUCAAAAAUUACCCUAAUUAUGCCUGCAUUUAUGAGAAAGAGGGAGAAAAAGGCUCACUUGGAUAAAAACCCAGCAAAUUGUCCCAAAUAUCUCCUUCAUAUUGAACGGCGCUGCAGCUGGCUGCUUUGUUCGGCAUCGAUCCCACAGAGCUUGGCUUUUAACGGCCUGCAUUAGGACGGAGAAACGGCAGAAAACAUUUUGUCAAUACUUCCAAUAAUUGAGGGUGGAAUGACCUGCAUGCGGCGAGAGUCUUUGGAGGUGAAUGUAGGCAGCGGCGGUGCAGGGUACGCCCCCCAAGCCUCCCCCUCUGCCUCCCCCUUGGCUUCCACAGCUGUGGUGAGUGAGGGGGCAGAUGACCGGAGAUUUGGCCCCUGGGAGAGCGCCGAGCCAUCCUGGUGCUAUUAGACUGGUGGCUAAUAAUAGGUGUUUCAGACUCGGGGAAGAUCAAUCAGAGGGGAAUGGGGAAUGUUCAGGCCAGCGCUUUUUACACAUCGGCCCAGAUGGAUGAAAUUACACUUGUCAGUUUUUAGUUGCAUUACUCCCAAAUUGGUUGUCUACUCUUUUUUUUUUCCCUCCCACCCUUCACUGCUUCAUUCCUGCUCUUGUUUUUUCUCACUCUCUCUUUUUUUUUUUUUUUAGCCCUGGUUCAUGUGUCAAUGUCCUGCUAAAAGGAUUCAGCAGUGAAAUCCCUGUCAUUUUGUGCCGGGCCCUCCAGGUACACGUAUUCACUUAAAAGACAUUAGUUCCUUGUCUGCGAGUGAACAUUUGUCAUGUGAUGGCCGAGCGCGUGAUUGUGUAAAUGCGGAGAUGACAUUUUGUAUGAGGCGUGGAAAAACUGUCAGGAAUAUUCAAAUACGCUGUUCUUGCUGCUUUGUGUCAUUUGAAUGUAAACAGCUACUCAAUGUGAAAUCAAUUGAAAUUCAUCAAUGCACGAGA